GCUGGGAUAGCUCAGUCGAUUAAGGCACUGCACUUGCGGAGCAGUAGUGACUAACACGGCGCGGGUUCGAUCCCCGGUCAUACCA